CUCUCUCUAACCCUAAUAAUUAACAAGCUGCCAGUCACGGUCGUCAUCUGCCAUUGACGGUCGCCGCCAUCUGCCAUUGACGGUUGUUGCCAUCCCUAUCUUUGUGCAGAAAACUCAAACACACACACACACACACAAAAUGGAGAUGGAGAUGACACAAGAAGAAUCGUCAUAUGAGUUGGAUGUUGGUAAUCUAAUGGCUUCAUACCCACAUCACAACUUUAUAUCUCCACCUUCUUCCAGGGGAAUGUCCAGAGGAUGCAUUGAUGCAUUCUGGGAUGAAAAUUGUGAUUGAAGAUUGCCCUUUGCAGCAGACAUCCUUCUCAUAUGGUCUAAUCAGUUCUUGAUGCGCCACUCAAACUUAAUUACAUGCAUAACCAUUCCGAAGGAGCUUUGAAGGGUUACCUUACAGAAGACAUGGAUUACAACGACCCGGAAGAAGGCUUUCCAUUGGUUGAUAUCAACCAUAAAGACGAGUUCCACUUUCUUGAAGAGGGCUAUGAACGUAACUCAUGGGACCUUGUCAAAUGUAGCAUGUAUCUUGCUCCCAUAUGGUUUGCA